UUUGGAACCCUUCCUUGGGAAAUGGGCGGAGGCAAUGGCCAGAAGGCUAAAAUGGCUCGGGAGAGAAACCUGGAGAAACAAAAGUCCUCCAGAGGAAGUCAGCUGGAAACAAACAAGAAAGCCAUGACAAUACAGUGCAAGGUAUGCAUGCAGACAUUUAUAUGUACAACAACAGAGGUGAAGUGCAGGGAGCAUGCAGAAGCAAGGCACCCAAAAUCUGAUGUAUAUGCAUGUUUUCCUCAUCUUAAAAAAUGAUUCCAAACUCUUAACCCCCACAUAUGAAUUAUGACCUAUAAAUCAACUCUUGGCUUUAUCCUCUCCUUCUCUUUUGCAAUAUUAAAGCCUUUCCCAAAUGCUCCUAGAGGCUACACGCCUUUAAAUGUAAUAAUAACAUAUGCUUGUGGUCAAAAAAUAUAUUGAUAAAG
rnacentral:misc_RNA from 1 species